rnacentral:rRNA from 1 species
AGCUUAUUGUUAUAAUUUAUAAUAAGUUAUUUCUGCCCUGUGAAAAUUUUUAACGGCCGCAGUACUUUGACUGUGCUAAGGUAGCAAAAUAAUUAGGCUUUUAAUUGGAGUCGGGAAUGAAAGAAAUUAAUAAUGAUAUACUGUCUUUGUUUUACUUUUUAAAAAUUACUUAUAUGGUGAAAAUUCCAUUAAAAAAACCAAAAGACGAGAAGACCCUAAGAAUUAUUAAUCUAAGUAAUUAUUUUACUUUUUUUUUGUUGGGGCAACAUUAAUUAUAAAAAUUAAUUUUAAAUAUUUUACCAAAGAAAAUUUAUUUAAUAAGAAAUAAAUUACCUUAGGGAUAACAGCAUAAUUAUUAUUAUAGAUUAUGACCUCGAUGUUGGACUAAGGAAAAUAUAUAGUUAGCCAUUAUAUAUACAGGUUCUGUUCGAACUAUUUAUCCUUACAU